ACCUGCCCAUUGGAAUCUAAAAGGCCGCGGUAUUAUGACCGUGCUAAGGUAGCAUAAUCAUUAGUCUUUUAAUUGGAGGCUGGUAUGAAUGGUUGGACAAGAAAUAAGCUGUCUUAAAUAAAAAUAUUGAAUUUAACUUUUAAGUGAAAAGGCUUAAAUUUUCUAAGGGGACGAUAAGACCCUAUAAAACUUUAUAUUUUAAAAUAAUAAUUAAUUUUUAUAUAGAAGAUUUAUUUUUAAAUAUUUUAUUGGGGUGAUAAAGAUAAAAUGUGAGAUAACUGUCUUUUUUUUUUACAAUUAAUAUUUGAGUAAAAGAUCUUAACAAAGGAAAUAAGAGAUUAAGUUACUUUAGGGAUAACAGCGUAAUUUUCUUUAAGAGUUCUUAUCGACAAGAAAGUUUGCGACCUCGAUGUUGAAUUAAAAGUUCUUUAUAGAGUAGAUACUAUAAUAGAGGGUCUGUUCGACCCUUAAAAUUUUACGUG
rnacentral:rRNA from 1 species